rnacentral:rRNA from 1 species
GGUUAAGUGACUAAGCGUACACGGUGGAUGCCUUGGCAGUUGGAGGCGAUGAAGGACGUAUUAACUUGCGAUAAGCCUAGUCAAGCUAGUAAAAAGCGCUUGAGACUAGGAUUUCCGAAUGGGGAAACCCACCUGCUUGCAGGUAUCGUUAACUGAAUACAUAGGUUAACGAGGCGAACGCGGAGAACUGAAACAUCUAAGUACCCGUAGGAAAAGAAAUCAACCGAGAUUCCGAAAGUAGCGGCGAGCGAAAUCGGAACAGCCCUUAAGCUUAUUAUGUGUUAAUGGAAGGCUCUGGAAAGUGCCACGAUACAGGGUGAUAGUCCCGUACAUGAAAAGACAUUUUAAGUGAAAUCGAGUAGGUCGGAGCACGUGAAACUUUGACUGAAUAUAGGUGGACCAUCAUCUAAGGCUAAAUACUCCCAACUGACCGAUAGUGAACCAGUACCGUGAGGGAAAGGCGAAAAGAACCCCUGUGAGGGGAGUGAAAUAGAACCUGAAACCGUGUACGUACAAGCAGUAGGAGCCUACUUGUUAGGUGACUGCGUACCUUUUGUAUAAUGGGUCAGCGACUUAUAUUUUGUAGCGAGGUUAACCGUAUAGGGUAGCCGUAGGGAAACCGAGUCUUAACUGGGCGAUUAGUUGCAAGGUAUAGACCCGAAACCCGGUGAUCUAGCCAUGAGCAGGUUGAAGGUUGAGUAACAUCAACUGGAGGACCGAACCCACUAACGUUGAAAAGUUAGGGGAUGACUUGUGGCUAGGAGUGAAAGGCUAAUCAAACCGGGAGAUAGCUGGUUCUCCCCGAAAUCUAUUUAGGUAGAGCCUCGGACGAAUACUUACGGGGGUAGAGCACUGUUAAGGCUAGGGGGUCAUCCCGACUUACCAACCCUUUGCAAACUCCGAAUACCGUAAAGUAAUAUCCGGGAGACACACGGCGGGUGCUAACGUCCGUCGUGAAGAGGGAAACAACCCAGACCGCCAGCUAAGGUCCCAAAGUCAUAGUUAAGUGGGAAACGAUGUGGAAAGGCCCAGACAGCCAGGAGGUUGGCUUAGAAGCAGCCAUCCUUUAAAGAAAGCGUAAUAGCUCACUGGUCGAGUCGGUCUGCGCGGAAGAUGUAACGGGGCUAAACUAUGCACCGAAGCUGCGGAUUCAACGUUUACGUUGAGUGGUAGGGGAGCGUUCUGUAAGCCGUUGAAGGUG